ensembl:rRNA pre-rRNA:CR45856 ribosomal RNA primary transcript:CR45856
AGGUAGGCAGUGGUUGCCGACCUCGCAUUGUUCGAAAUAUAUAUUUCGUAUUAUUAUUAUAUUUGUUACUUAUAAUAAAGUAUAUUAUUAUCCGUACUAAUUUGUUUCUUAGUUCUUUUUGAACACGGGACUUGGCUCCGCGGAUAAUAGGAAUAUACGCUAUUUUAGAUAAUAUCGUUGAAACAAAAGUCAAGUUUCUAUUAUACAUAGAAUAACAAAUCGUUUCCAUAUAUUAUCGUUAAUUUUUGGAGGCAGGUAAUUUAUUACCUGCCUGUAAAGUUGGAUUAUUAUAUCGUUACGGUAUAAUACAAAAUGGAUUCAUAUUAUCGGUUUUAUGUUAUAUAUUACCAGAGAGUUAUAUGAAAAGAGAUACAUUUUAAAUUUAUCAUCAAGAUGCAAAUGACUUAACUUAUAUUUGUUGAAACAAAAAUUGUACAAGUGUGGAUACAAUAAUUUAUGUAUGUUGGAAAUAAAAUGAUAUUUUAAAAUGAAAUAUAUGUAUAUAUAAAGACAAAAUUAUAGAAAUAUAUAUUACAAUAAUUGUAUGAACUUCUUGUUAUAUUGGUAAAACAAGUAGAAUUUAAAAAUGGAAAUACGAAUUACUAGUGUUAUAUAAAAAUGGCCGUAUUCGAAUGGAUUUAUUUUUAUAAAUAUAUUUAAAAUUUUUACCCAAAGGCAAAAUAUUGAAUUAUAUUCAAUAAUAUACAAAAAAUGGAAUUAUAUAUAAAGUGGAAAUCUAUAAUAUUUAUAUUGCUUAUUUCAAUUCAAAAAAUAUGAAUGAAAUAUGAAAAGAAAACAUUAUUCUGGUUGAUCCUGCCAGUAGUUAUAUGCUUGUCUCAAAGAUUAAGCCAUGCAUGUCUAAGUACACACGAAUUAAAAGUGAAACCGCAAAAAGCUCAUUAUAUCAGUUAUGGUUCUUUAGAUCGUUAACAGUUACUUGGAUAACUGUGGUAAUUCUAGAGCUAAUACAUGCAAUUAAAACAUGAACCUUAUGGGACAUGUGCUUUUAUUAGGCUAAAACCAAGCGAUCGCAAGAUCGUUAUAUUGGUUGAACUCUAGAUAACAUGCAGAUCGUAUGGUCUUGUACCGACGACAGAUCUUUCAAAUGUCUGCCCUAUCAACUUUUAAUGGUAGUAUCUAGGACUACCCUGGUUGCAACGGGUAACGGGGAAUCAGGGUUCGAUUCCGGAGAGGGAGCCUGAGAAACGGAUACCACAUCUAAGGAAGGCAGCAGGCGCGUAAAUUACCCACUCCCAGCUCGGGGAGGUAGUGACGAAAAAUAACAAUACAGGACUCAUAUCCGAGGCCCUGUAAUUGGAAUGAGUACACUUUAAAUCCUUUAACAAGGACCAAUUGGAGGGCAAGUCUGGUGCCAGCAGCCGCGGUAAUUCCAGCUCCAAUAGCGUAUAUUAAAGUUGUUGCGGUUAAAACGUUCGUAGUUGAACUUGUGCUUCAUACGGGUAGUACAACUUACAAUUGUGGUUAGUACUGUACCUUUAUGUAUGUAAGCGUAUUACCGGUGGAGUUCUUAUAUGUGAUUAAAUACUUGUAUUUUUUCAUAUGUUCCUCCUAUUUAAAAACCUGCAUUAGUGCUCUUAAACGAGUGUUAUUGUGGGCCGGUACUAUUACUUUGAACAAAUUAGAGUGCUUAAAGCAGGCUUCAAAUGCCUGAAUAUUCUGUGCAUGGGAUAAUGAAAUAAGACCUCUGUUCUGCUUUCAUUGGUUUUCAGAUCAAGAGGUAAUUAUUAAUAGAAGCAGUUUGAGGGCUUAAGACUAACUUAAGCGAAAGCAUUUGCCAAAGAUGUUUUCAUUAAUCAAGAACGAAAGUUAGAGGUUCGACGGCGAUCAGAUACCGCCCUUGUUCUAACCAGAAACGAUGCCAGCUAGCAAUUGGGUGUAGCUACUUUUAUGGCUCUCUCAGUCGCUUCCCGGGAAACCAAAGCUUUUGGGCUCCGGGGGAAGUAUGGUUGCAAAGCUGAAACUUAAAGGAAUUGACGGAAGGGCACCACCAGGAGUGGAGCCUGCGGCUUAAUUUGACUCAACACGGGAAAACUUACCAGGUCCGUGUGUAAGACAGAUUGAUAGCUCUUUCUCGAAUCUAUGGGUGGUGGCGCAUGGCCGUUCUUAGUUCGUGGAGUGAUUUGUCUGGUUAAUUCCGAUAACGAACGAGACUCAAAUAUAUUAAAUAGAUAUCUUCAGGAUUAUGGUGCUGAAGCUUAUGUAGCCUUCAUUCAUGUUGGCAGUAAAAUUCUUAUUGUGUUUGAAUGUGUUUAUGUAAGUGGAGCCGUACCUGUUGGUUUGUCCCAUUAUAAGGACACUAGCUUCUUAAACAGACAAAUUGCGUCUAACAACAAUGAGAUUUAGCAAUAACAGGUCUGUGAUGCCCUUAGAUGUCCUGGGCUGCACGCGCGCUACAAUGAAAGUAUCAACGUGUAUUUACUAGUCCGAGAGGUCCGGGUAAACCGCUGAACCACUUUCAUGCUUGGGAUUGUGAACAUGAACUUGGAAUUCCCAGUAAGUGUGAGUCAUUAACUCGCAUUGAUUACGUCCCUGCCCUUUGUACACACCGCCCGUCGCUACUACCGAUUGAAUUAUUUAGUGAGGUCUCCGGACGUGAUCACUGUGACGCCUUGCGUGUUACGGUUGUUUCGCAAAAGUUGACCGAACUUGAUUAUUUAGAGGAAGUAAAAGUCGUAACAAGGUUUCCGUAGGUGAACCUGCGGAAGGAUCAUUAUUGUAUAAUAUCCUUACCGUUAAUAAACAUUUGUAAUAAUACAAAUAAAAACAAUUUACCAAAAUAAAAAUAUAACAAAAUGAUUCCACGGAAUCAAAAGUUAAAAUCAAAAUAAAACGAAGAUGGGUUUUAUUUAUAUUGUGUGAGGCUUGGCAACCUCACCAAAAGAUUUUAACAUUCCUAAUGGAUGUUGUGCGUAUUUGUGGCGAGUACUUACAACAACGGCGUUUCCUAUAGAAAUAAUGUUUCGAACAUGAAAAUCGAAGAAACAAAAUUCGAAAGUGGAAGUCGAAUCAAAAUAAAAUAAUUUCGCAUGUGGUAAUCAUCGAAAUAAGUGUUAAUAUAAUUGGUAGAUAUUAACUAAUUUUUAAAAUUUGUGUGUAUUUAUUACUAUACACGCGUUGCGAAUAUGUAUUGUUCAUCUUAGUUAUGGGCAUACGUUGGCUAAUGCAACAACCUGAAAUAAACAAUGUUGUACCUGGCAUCCAUCAGGUAAAUGUUUUAUAUAAAUUGCAGUAUGUGUCACCCAAAAUAGCAAACCCCAUAACCAACCAGAUUAUUAUGAUACAUAAUGCUUAUAUGAAACUAAGACAUUUCGCAACAUUUAUUUUAGGUAUAAAAAUACAUUUAUUGAAGGAAUUGAUAUAUGCCAGUAAAAUGGUGUAUUUUUAAUUUCUUUCAACAAAAACAUAAUUGACAUUAUAUAAAAAUGAAUUAUAAAACUCUAGGCGGUGGAUCACUCGGCUCAUGGGUCGAUGAAGAACGCAGCAAACUGUGCGUCAUCGUGUGAACUGCAGGACACAUGAACAUCGACAUUUUGAACGCAUAUCGCAGUCCAUGCUGUUAUGUACUUUAAUUAAUUUUAUAAAACUAAAAAAUUAAAAAUGGAUAAAUAAAAACUUUGCAUACAAGAAUUAAUAAAAAUGUUAUAACGAAUUUAAUUAAAUGUUUUAUCAUUAUAUAUAAAGAAUUUAUGGCAAGAUAAAGUUAUAUACAACCUCAACUCAUAUGGGACUACCCCCUGAAUUUAAGCAUAUUAAUUAGAGGAGGAAAAGAAAAUAAAAAGGCUUUUUUUAAAAGCGGCGAGCGAAAAGAAAACAGUUCAGCACUAAGUCACUUUGUCUAUGUGGCAAAUGUGAGAUGCAGUGUAUGGAGCGUCAAUAUUCUAGUAUGAGAAAUUAACGAUUUAAGUCCUUCUUAAAUGAGGCCAUUUACCCAUAGAGGGUGCCAGGCCCAUAUAACGUUAAUGAUUACUAGAUGAUGUUUCCAAAGAGUCGUGUUGCUUGAUAGUGCAGCACUAAGUGGGUGGUAAACUCCAUCUAAAACUAAAUAUAACCAUGAGACCGAUAGUAAACAAGUACCGUGAGGGAAAGUUGAAAAGAACUCUGAAUAGAGAGUUAAACAGUACGUGAAACUGCUUAGAGGUUAAGCCCGAUGAACCUGAAUAUCCGUUAUGGACAAUUCAUCAUUAAAAUUGUAAUAUUUAAAUAACAUUAUGAGAAUAGUGUGCAUUUUUUCCAUAUAAGGACAUUGUAAUCUAUUAGCGUAUACCAAAUUUAUCAUAAAAUAUAACUUAUAGUUUAUUCCAAUUAAAUUGCUUGCAUUUUAACACAGAAUAAAUGUUAUUCAUUUGAUAAAGUGCUGAUAGAUUUAUAUGAUUACAGUACGUUAAUUUUUCGGAAUUAUAUAAUGGCAUAAUUAUCAUUGAUUUUUGUGUUUAUUUUAUGCACUUGUAUGAUUAACAAUGCGAAAGAUUCAGGAUACCUUCGGGACCCGUCUUGAAACACGGAGCAAGGAGUCUAACAUAUGUGCAAGUUAUUGGGAUAUGAACCUAAUAGCGUAAUUAACUUGACUAAUAAUGGGAUUAGUUUUUUACCGAUUUAUAGCUAAUUAACACAAUCCCGGGGCGUUCUAUAUAGUUAUGUAUAAUGUAUAUUUAUAUUAUUUACGCCUCUAACUGGAACGUACCUUGAGCAUAUAUGCUGUGACCCGAAAGAUGGUGAACUAUACUUGAUCAGGUUGAAGUCAGGGGAAACCCUGAUGGAAGACCGAAAUAGUUCUGACGUGCAAAUCGAUUGUCAGAAUUGAGUAUAGGGGCGAAAGACCAAUCGAACCAUCUAGGAGCUGGUUCCUUCCGAAGUUUCCCUCAGGAUAGCUGGUGUAUUUUAAUAUUAUAUAAAAUAAUCUUAUCUGGUAAAGCGAAUGAUUAGAGGCCUUAGGGUCGAAACGAUCUUAACCUAUUCUCAAACUUUAAAUGGGUAAGAACCUUAACUUUCUUGAUAUGAAGUUCAAGGUUAUGAUAUAAUGUGCCCAGUGGGCCACUUUUGGUAAGCAGAACUGGCGCUGUGGGAUGAACCAAACGUAAUGUUACGGUGCCCAAAUUAACAAUUCAUGCAGAUACCAUGAAAGGCGUUGGUUGCUUAAGACAGCAGGACGGUGAUCAUGGGAACAACUCACCUGCCGAAGCAACUAGCCAUUAAAAUGGAUGGCGCUUAAGUUGUAUACCUAUACAUUACCGCUAAAGUAGAUGAUUUAUAUUACUUGUAAUAUAAAUUUUGAAACUUUAGUGAGUAGGAAGGUACAAUGGUAUGCGUAGAAGUGUUUGGCGUAAGCCUACAUGGAGCUGCCAUUGGUACAGAUCUUGGUGGUAGUAGCAAAUAAUCGAAUGAGACCUUGGAGGACUGAAGUGGAGAAGGGAUUCGUGUGAACAGUGGUUGAUCACGAGUUAGUCGGUCCUAAGUUCAAGGCGAAAGCCGAAAAUUUUCAAGUAAAACAAAAAUGCCUAACUAUAUAAACAAAGCGAAUUAUAAUACACUUGAAUAAUUUUGAACGAAAGGGAAUACAGUUCCAAUUCCGUAACCUGUUGAGUAUCCGUUUGUUAUUAAAUAUGGGCCUCGUGCUCAUCCUGGCAACAGGAACGACCAUAAAGAAGCCGUCGAGAGAUAUCGGAAGAGUUUUCUUUUCUGUUUUAUAGCCGUACUACCAUGGAAG